CUCCAAGUGGCUCCGAUAAAUCUGGAGGCCAUGGAGUUGUACUAUAGUAAAUCACCUGGAAUGGAAGGAUCAGACGUGGCCUAAUUAGAUGUUGUAAUAAGAGUCGCUAGGCCGGGUUAAUUUAGCUUGCUACUGGACUCCCACACCAAACAACUACAGCCCCAUGCAAACAAUAGACUGGGAAACAUGAAACCCCUUUCAUGGAAUUUCACAGGGAUAAUAUUUAGACAUGGAAUUAAACCGCAGUAGCUGGGUCUGGGUCUUAAAGGGGAUUAGGGCGCCAACAUUGGACAAUCUAAAUACAUUUGUUGAUGAAAGGAACAACAAACACAAUGUAGUCUGGUAAUUAGAUAAAUGAAUGGGAUGCAGGCUUGGUUUAUUACCACAUCUGUUUACUUUAUCUGAACAGGGACGUCAGGCUGAUCGCUGCAUGCUCUAAAAGGACGAUGACCCUGACUAUAACCCGAGGAAAGACCAUGAUUAAGAGCAGCCAAUCACCAACAGGUGUAGGUCAGCCAACCAAGGGGUCAAUUAUGCAGCUCCCAGCAAUGGACAAAGACACACCUACAGGACCAAAUUGAUGGCUGGACUUCGUGCAGUUACCUUGAAGCACCUGCACUCUCUUUUGACUUUUGACAACCUAUUCUUUACCUAUCACCAUCUCACCAUAUUCAAAGACAUUUAGAAUCUAUACUUUGUGAUAUGCUUUCAUGCAAGAGUCCCCUGCAACAAAGAAAUACUUUUCUUUUACGUUUUGGUGAAGCCAUUUGCCCAGCUCCUGUCACGCAUGUAGCUGUCCAUAUUAGCCGUACGACCAGACCUCAAUAGGAAGGUUACAUUGCCAAACCUGUUACUACCAUCACCUGCCCCCUGAACAAACAUAUGGAGGUCUUGAGGGGGAUGUCUGUGUCUUUGGUCAGUUUAAGGUGAACUUGGAAACAGCUGGUCUUCUGAGGGCCUCGAAGUGUGUGUGUGUGUGUUUUAAGUCCAAAAUGAGCAACAGCUACAGUCCAUAGUAUUUGUUUCGGGAAGAUUUACAAUGACGUAAAUAAAUGCCUCUUCGGGGGAUUGGCUAAAUACAGUUAGUCUGAGCAAACUAUAGGGCAAGGCAUGGUGAGGGCACCUUUUGAAACUCAUCUCAAUGAUCAAGAGAUAUCAGCUGAAAUAAUGAGAACAAUUAGUGUGUACUGAAUGAGAACAAGCAGUGUGUACUGAAUGAGAGAGCUGUCCUCUCUUAUCUUACAUCUCAAGCAAAAACAUUUUUUAUUAGGAUAUUUUCCUGGUUUUGACCAAACUCCAGUGUAACUGAUUGUAACAGUGUUUUACAUAGUUACUUAGGAUUACAACAAACCUGUUACACAAAGUUAUGAAGGACAUGUGGCAUGUGUAACAAGCGUAAAAUACUUAGACAUAUGAUAUCCUUUAAGGUCAGAAAUGAAUAACACAACCUGACCUCUAAUGUACCAUCCACUUUUUGAGAGUACCCCUUUAAAUACUGUACCAGUCAAAAGUUUGGACACCUACUCAUUCAAGGGUUUUUCUUUAAUUUUUACUAUGUUCUGCAUUGUAGAAUAAUAGUAAAGAUCAAAACUAUGAAAUAACACAUAUGGAAUCAUGUAGUAACCAAAACAGUGUUAAACAAAUCAAAAUAGAUUUGAGAUUUGAGAUUCUUCCA
rnacentral:lncRNA from 13 species